rnacentral:rRNA from 1 species
AGAUGGCGACCGGCGCACGGGUGAGUAACACGUAUCCAACCUGCCGAUAACUCGGGGAUAGCCUUUCGAAAGAAAGAUUAAUACCCGAUGGUAUAAUCAGACCGCAUGGUUUGAUUAUUAAAGAAUUUCGGUUAUCGAUGGGGAUGCGUUCCAUUAGAUAGUAGGCGGGGUAACGGCCCACCUAGUCAACGAUGGAUAGGGGUUCUGAGAGGAAGGUCCCCCACAUUGGAGCUGAGACACGGUCCAA